AUGCAUGAUCAGGUCGGCAUUGACUUGGACGGCUUCCCACUUGACCACGAGUUUCCGGCCGACUAUGACCAAGAGGAAGAGGACGAGUGCGACAUCGACGUGGAGCCUUUGUUCGAGGACGAGCUCUCCAAUCAAGCCGCCGGUCGCAAGGAGAAGCGCAAGAGCAAGCUCACGAAGGCAUACACGGCGGCCGAGGACAAGCUUCUUUGCGAGUGUUGGCGAGACAUUGGACAAGACCCCAAGAUGGGCGCCGAACAAAAGGCAUCAACUUUUUGGAUUCUUGUCCACCGGGAAUUUCAUGAGCGCAAGACGUUUCCGUCUUACCAAAUUGUGAGCGCGCGCGGGUGGGUCUCCAUUUCGAAACGAUGGAUGGUGAUCCAACAAGAGUGCACGUGCAACAAGUUUGUGCCACUCUUGAGAGUGUGA
rnacentral:rRNA from 1 species